rnacentral:rRNA from 1 species
UUUAUGGAGAGUUUGAUCCUGGCUCAGGAUGAACGCUGGCGGCGUGCCUAAUACAUGCAAGUCGAGCGAACGGACGAGAAGCUUGCUUCUCUGAUGUUAGCGGCGGACGGGUGAGUAACACGUGGAUAACCUACCUAUAAGACUGGGAUAACUUCGGGAAACCGGAGCUAAUACCGGAUAA